GCACGCUGGCGGCGUGCCUAAUACUGCAAGUCGAGCGCGGGAAGCAGAAGAAUCCUUCGGGAGGACGUCUGUGGAACGAGCGGCGGACGGGUGAGUAACACGUGGGCAACCUGCCUGUAAGACUGGGAUAACUCCGGGAAACCGGGGCUAAUACCGGAUAAUUCAUCGAAUCGCAUGAUUCGAUGUUGAAAGGUGGCAUAUGCUACUACUUACAGAUGGGCCCGCGGCGCAUUAGUUAGUUGGUGGGGUAAAAGCCUACCAAGGCCACGAUGCGUAGCCGACCUGAGAGGGUGAUCGGCCACACUGGGACUGAGACACGGCCCAGACUCCUACGGGAGGCAGCAGUAGGGAAUCAUCCGCAAUGGACGCAAGUCUGACGGUGCAACGCCGCGUGAGUGAGGAAGGUCUUCGGAUCGUAAAACUCUGUUGUUAGAGAAGAACAAGUACCGUUCGAAUAGGGCGGUACCUUGACGGUACCUAACCAGAAAGCCACGGCUAACUACGUGCCAGCAGCCGCGGUAAUACGUAGGUGGCAAGCGUUGUCCGGAAUUAUUGGGCGUAAAGGGCGCGCAGGCGGUUCCUUAAGUCUGGUGUGACAGCCCACGGCUCAACCGUGGAGGGUCAUCGGAAACUGGGGAGCUUGAGUACAGAAGAGGAGAGCGGAAUUCCACGUGUAGCGGUGAAAUGCGUAGAUAUGUGGAGGAACACCAGUGGCGAANGCGGCUCUCUGGUCUGUGACUGACGCUGAGGCGCGAAAGCGUGGGUAGCGAACAGGAUUAGAUACCCUGGUAGUCCACGCCGUAAACGAUGAGUGCUANGUGUUNAGGGGGUUUCCACCCUUANUGCUGCAUUAACGCANUAAGCACUCCNCCUGGGGGAGU
rnacentral:rRNA from 1 species